ensembl:lncRNA
GGGGGGGGGGGGGGGGGGGGGGGGGGGGGGGGGGGGGGGGGGGGGGGGGGGGGGGGGGGGGGGGGGGGGGGGGGGGGGGGGGGGGGGGGGGGGGGGGGGGGGGGGGGGGGGGGGGGGGGUCUAAAAUCCCCAUGGAAAAUCCUCCAGGAACUGGGAUUCACAUCCAGGGUGAGAAAUAAACCUCUAAAAUCCCCAUGGAAAAUCCCACUGAUGGAUUCAUUGGCUUGGGAAUCAGGAUAAGACUCUCAAUGGGAAGAACCUUCCAGGAACUGGGAUUCAUUGCCAGGGUGAGAAACACCCAUCAAAAAUCCCAUGGAAAAUCCUACAGAUGAUUUCCUUGGCUUGGGAAUCAGGGUAAGACUAUCAAUGGGAAGAAUCCUCCAAGAAUUGGGAUUCACAUCCAGGGUGAGAAAUAAACCUCUAAAAUCCCCAUGGAAAAUCCCACUGAUGGAUUCAUUGGCUUGGGAAUCAGGAUAAGACUCUCAAUGGGAAGAACCUUCCAGGAACUGGGAUUCAUUGCCAGGGUGAGAAACACCCAUCAAAAAUCCCAUGGAAAAUCCUACAGAUGAUUUCCUUGGCUUGGGAAUCAGGGUAAGACUCUCAAUGGGAAGAAUCCUCCAAGAAUUGGGAUUCACAUCCAGGGUGAGAAAUACACCUCCAAAUUCCCAUGGAAAAUCCUACAGAUGGAUUCAUUGGCUUGGGAAUCAGGGUAAGACUCUCAAUGGGAAGAAUCCUCCAAGAAUUGGGAUUCACAUCCAGGGUGAGAAAUAAACCUCUAAAAUCCCCAUGGAAAAUCCCACUGAUGGAUUCAUUGGCUUGGGAAUCAGGAUAAGACUCUCAAUGGGAAGAACCCUCCAAGAAUUGGGAUUCACAUCCAGGGUGAGAAACACCCAUCAAAAAUCCCAUUGAAAAUCCCACAGAUGAUUGCCCUGGCAAGACCCCGAAUGGUGAUGAUUAAAAAUCCCCCUUGAUUGAAAUUCCUCUUUUUUCCUCAUUGAAAAAGGAGGAGAAGAGGUGAGAAAAACGCGGGAACGAUACACCCCGAUGUGCCUUACGAGCAGCAAAGGGAACUUUUAAGCCACUCCAAACACUCCAACACAUCCCAGCGAGCCAGACCCCGAAACCACCACCAAGAAAACCCCAAGCGGAACACGAUCUGCCGCCGAGCUGGGGGUGGUCCCUGCGGCUCAGGGGGCCGGGGAGGGGGGCACACUCACCACGGGGGAGGGGGACAGGGCGAUGUUGCCCACGGACGCCCGGAGCUCGUCCACGGUGGCCGCGCUGCGCAGGGCGUCCUUGGCUUGCAGGGGCUUGAUCUUGAUGUUGAACUUCUUGUGCGCCUCCUCCUCCUCCUCCGACUCGCUGGAGGAGUAGAAGUGCUUUCCUUUGGUAGAUCCUGGUUCCUCGGGUCUGAUGCUGUAUCCCUCCUCAUCCAGCUCAGGUGAGUUCUGGAUAGGGAACAAAAAAAAAAAAAAAAACCAACCAAACAGGAAAAUCAGGAAUUAAUCCUCCUCUGGAGCUCUGACCCCAAAUAAAAGGGAGGAAAUCCCGAGCUGGGGAUGUCACUGCUGCACCCCAAGCACAUGGAGCUGCUGCUCCCAGGGUGAAUCCAGCCCAGGGUGUGGAUCCACGGCUGCAUUUCAUGGAAUUGCUCAGGCUGGAAAAGCCCGAUGGGAUAAUCAGGUCAAAUAUUCCCCAGCGCUGCCCCGUAUCCCAAAGUGCCACAUCCACA